AUACAUGCAAGUCGAACGAACUCUGGUAUUGAUUGGUGCUUGCAUCAUGAUUUACAUUUGAGUGAGUGGCGAACUGGUGAGUAACACGUGGGAAACCUGCCCAGAAGCGGGGGAUAACACCUGGAAACAGAUGCUAAUACCGCAUAACAACUUGGACCGCAUGGUCCGAGUUUGAAAGAUGGCUUCGGCUAUCACUUUUGGAUGGUCCCGCGGCGUAUUAGCUAGAUGGUGGGGUAACGGCUCACCAUGGCAAUGAUACGUAGCCGACCUGAGAGGGUAAUCGGCCACAUUGGGACUGAGACACGGCCCAAACUCCUACGGGAGGCAGCAGUAGGGAAUCUUCCACAAUGGACGAAAGUCUGAUGGAGCAACGCCGCGUGAGUGAAGAAGGGUUUCGGCUCGUAAAACUCUGUUGUUAAAGAAGAACAUAUCUGAGAGUAACUGUUCAGGUAUUGACGGUAUUUAACCAGAAAGCCACGGCUAACUACGUGCCAGCAGCCGCGGUAAUACGUAGGUGGCAAGCGUUGUCCGGAUUUAUUGGGCGUAAAGCGAGCGCAGGCGGUUUUUUAAGUCUGAUGUGAAAGCCUUCGGCUCAACCGAAGAAGUGCAUCGGAAACUGGGAAACUUGAGUGCAGAAGAGGACAGUGGAACUCCAUGUGUAGCGGUGAAAUGCGUAGAUAUAUGGAAGAACACCAGUGGCGAAGGCGGCUGUCUGGUCUGUAACUGACGCUGAGGCUCGAAAGUAUGGGUAGCAAACAGGAUUAGAUACCCUGGUAGUCCAUACCGUAAACGAUGAAUGCUAAGUGUUGGAGGGUUUCCGCCCUUCAGUGCUGCAGCUAACGCAUUAAGCAUUCCGCCUGGGGAGUACGGCCGCAAGGCUGAAACUCAAAGGAAUUGACGGGGGCCCGCACAAGCGGUGGAGCAUGUGGUUUAAUUCGAAGCUACGCGAAGAACCUUACCAGGUCUUGACAUACUAUGCAAAUCUAAGAGAUUAGACGUUCCCUUCGGGGACAUGGAUACAGGUGGUGCAUGGUUGUCGUCAGCUCGUGUCGUGAGAUGUUGGGUUAAGUCCCGCAACGAGCGCAACCCUUAUUAUCAGUUGCCAGCAUUAAGUUGGGCACUCUGGUGAGACUGCCGGUGACAAACCGGAGGAAGGUGGGGAUGACGUCAAAUCAUCAUGCCCCUUAUGACCUGGGCUACACACGUGCUACAAUGGAUGGUACAACGAGUUGCGAACUCGCGAGAGUAAGCUAAUCUCUUAAAGCCAUUCUCAGUUCGGAUUGUAGGCUGCAACUCGCCUACAUGAAGUCGGAAUCGCUAGUAAUCGCGGAUCAGCAUGCCGCGGUGA
rnacentral:rRNA from 2 species